AUCUAUGGCUGGGGGAGGAAAGCGGCGACCCUACUGUGGCGUGGAGGGUACAGUCCCUACACGUCGCCUUAACUUUUGGCCCGCCUCUUCCACCCUUCUCGCCUCCGGCCGGGAGCCCGAUCUAGGCACGCGUGAGGGUCAGGAGAGAAUAAAAUGCGCCGGGCAUCUUUCUCCGUUUAGUCUCUGCGCGAUGGAAAAGGGGUGGGGAAGACACCCAUCGGAGUCCCAAAGGGCACGCCUCGGAGGGCCAUAGGAAGAGCCCUGCUGUGUGUGGAGCGGGGGAGAGGGUGCCCUCUGUAUGGGGACGGGGGGGGCGCGAGAAACCCCUGCGAGAAAGAGGCAAACCUGAGGAGGCAGGCUUGAAACACGAGGGGCGAAAUGUCCUCCGAAGUGUGGGGACAGACAGAGGUGUGUGCGUGUGCGUGCGUGCGUGUGUGUGUGUGUGUGUCAGAGGCUAGGGCUGCAGGCCCUCCGCUGUCUUGGGCAACGGCCGGGUGGGUGACUGGGGGAGGCAGGGAGGGACAGAAAGGCCUUACUGCCGCCACCUCCAGCCCCCCGCCCCAACCAACUGCUGCCUCCGGGACCCGAGCUGACGGUCAGCCCACCCGAGGAGGGCUGAAGCGCCCGCUUGGCUCGGCCUUGCCCUCCCGCCCAGGCCUUCCUGCUUUUUUGCCGGCAACUCCGUGGCGCCUCCUUAAAUCUCUGCCGUUAAAAUGUGGGCGGGUGUUUCAAGUCAAAGAGCGCUCAAAUGUUUUUCCUUUUCAAAAAAAGCUGCCGAGGGUUAGAAGUUGGGGAGGGGAGGAAGGAGACUGGAAAUGGGGACAGCGGCAGCGAGGAGGAGCAGGAACCGGCUUCCUCGGCGGCAGCCCGCGAAGAAUUCAAGCAAGCAAGAGCUCGCCGGCCUCAACCCACGGGGACGGGCUUCAGGAGGCUCGCCGAGCGGAGAAGGCGGUCUGAGCAAGCAGAGAGAGUCCCUUCGGCCGCUUUGCCGCCUUCCAGCGAGGCGCCAGGUUGCGCCGGGAUCCUGUCAAAAAAAAAGAAAAAGAAAGAAAAGGGCGCAACGCCUCGGCCGCACCAGCCGCUGCCUCUUGGUGACUGCCGCCCGAGUCUUCACGAGGACGACGAAAAGGGGGCAACGGUUACGGACAUCGCAGCGCCCACCCGGGCGCUCCGCACUGCCGGAGGAGGAGGAAGAGGCAGCGAUCUCCUCCUGGGUGUGACCGGGCGCAAGACUGGCAAGCAGUUCCUGGGCAUGGAGCGUAGCCGGAUAAUGGCAUGGCGGGGUCCGGGCAGCGCCUGCCGCCCCUUUGGGCUACCUGGGGGCUCCUGCUCUCCCCGUGAGCCGCUGGAGAAGUUUGGCAGCUGCUCCGCCGCCGGCUGGCGUUAACCCUUCCGCUGCCGCGGCUGGUUGGAGCCACCUAAGUCAGCUCCGGCGAGCUGAACGUUUGCAAGAAAAAAAAACCCCAAAGCAGGCGGGGAGUGGGCGGAAAGACGGGGCCAAAAAAGAGAGAGGAAGAAGGAGGGAAAAAAACGCAACCGUUCGGGAUCGUGUAUAAGAGCCAUUUGAGGAGAAGGAGCGCGCGAUGGAGGUCGGAGGUCUCCCCUGGACAGCACGGUGAUGAAGCUGGGGAAUCCAGAGAUCGCCCGGCGGUUGCUGAUGCGAGGCGCUGACCCGGACCUGAAGGACGGCACCGGCUUCGCG